GACGAACGCUGGCGGCGUGCUUAACACAUGCAAGUCGAACGAUGAAGCCGGAGCUUGCUCUGGUGGAUUAGUGGCGAACGGGUGAGUAACACGUGAGUAACCUGCCCUUGACUCUGGGAUAAGCGUUGGAAACGACGUCUAAUACCGGAUACGAGCUAGGACCGCAUGGUCACUAGCUGGAAAGAACUUCGGUCAAGGAUGGACUCGCGACCUAUCAGUUAGUUGGUGAGGUAACGGCUCACCAAGACGACGACGGGUAGCCGGCCUGAGAGGGUGCCCGGCCACACUGGGACUGAGACACGGCCCAGACUCCUACGGGAGGAAGCAGUGGGGAAUAUUGCACAAUGGGCGCAAGCCUGAUGCAGCAACGCCGCGUGAGGGACGACGGCCUUCGGGUUGUAAACCUCUUUUAGCAGGGAAGAAGCGCAAGUGACGGUACCUGCAGAAAAAGCACCGGCUAACUACGUGCCAGCAGCCGCCGUAACAC
rnacentral:rRNA from 1 species